rnacentral:sRNA from 1 species
CUGCACUUCAGCCUGGGUGACAGAGCAAGACCCUGUCUUAAAUAAAUAAAUAAGUCUCUUAGUUGAAUUGAUUCAUAGUAUUCUAUUUUUUGUUCUCUGAAAUGAUAGGUUUAUUACAAAGGUCAGCUGGGAAGAGCUACUGCUUUACGUGUAACUCCUGAAAUGGAAAGAGUGAAGAAGAAUCAAGAAAAUAUUAGCUCGGUAAAAUAUACCCAGGACCAUAAACAGAUGAAAGGUAGACCAAGUCUGAUUUUAGAUACACCUGCUAUGAGACAUGUUAAAGAAGCACAAAAUCAUAUUUCAAUGGUAGGGUCCAACCAGAUCAUUCUUAAAACAUGCUAAGGAGUGGCCGGAUCCAGUGCACGGAUGGCAUUACUUCACUAUUAAUCCGAUAACUAACAAAGCAUGGAAAUGUGGUUGGCUUGUCUUUUGAGGGAGGGGCAUUUCUAAUCACACUGAAAUGCAAUGGAAACAUUUAGUCUAAUAAAAUGAUUUUUCUCAGUGA